rnacentral:tRNA from 1 species
UCCGGCCGUAGACGAGCCGGGGGUUGCGGGCGUGGCAGGCCUGUGGCCCGAUCCCCAGGCGCUCGGCGACGCCCGGCCGGUA